rnacentral:rRNA from 1 species
GAUGAACGCUUUCCGCUUUCCUAAUACCUUCAAGUCGAUCUACCAGACGAGGAGCUUGCUCCUCUGACGUUAGCGGCGGACGGGUGAGUAACACGUGGAUAACCUACCUAUAAGACUGGGAUAACUUCGGGAAACCGGAGCUAAUACCGGAUAAUAUAUUGAACCGCAUGGUUCAAUAGUGAAAUACGGUUUUGCUUGCACUUAUAGAUGGAUCCGCGCCGCAUUAUCUAUUUGGUAAGGUAACGGCUUACCCAUUCACCGAUGCGUAGCCGACCUGAGAGGGUGAACGGCCACACUGGAACUGAGACACGGUCCAGACUCCUACGGGAGGCAGCAGUAGGGAAUCUUCCGCAAUGGGCGAAAGCCUGACGGAGCAACGCCGCGUGAGUGAUGAAGGUCUUCGGAUCGUAAAAAGAUGGUAUUAGGGAAGAACAAAUGUGUAAGUAACUAUGCACGUCUUGACGGUACCUAAUAAGAAAGAAAAGGAGAACUACGG